rnacentral:rRNA from 1 species
CCUACGGGGGCAGCAGUGGGGGAUAUUGCACAAUGGGGGGAACCCUGAUUCAGCGACGCCGCGUGGGUGAAGAAGCGCCUCGGCGCGUAAAGCCCUGUCAGCAGGGAAGAAAAUGACGGUACCUGAAGAAGAAGCCCCGGCUGACUACGGGCCAGCAGCGGCGGUCAUCCGUAGGGGGCAAGCGUUAUCCGGAUUUACUGGGUUUAAAGGGGGCGCAGGCGGCGAUGCAAGCCAGGCGGGAAAGCCCGGGGACCAACCCCGGGACUGCUCUUGGAACUGCGUGGCUGGAGUGCAGGAGGGGCAGGCGGAAUGCCUGGUGUAGCGGUGAAAUGCGUAGAUAUCAGGAGGAACACCGGUGGCGAAGGCGGCCUGCGGGACUGCAACUGACGUUGAGGCCCGAAAGCGUGGGGAGCAAACAGGAUUAGAUACCCUUGUAGUC